GGACUGGUAGUCAUGGCAACAGGGGCACAUCCAGAAGUCAGAGCCGGAAAACAGAGCAGGUCAAAUGUGGAACUGGCUUUUGGCUAGAGUGGAGAGGUGAUGCCAGAAGACCAGACAAGAUGCCCUCAAAGCAGCCUCAUGAAGCUAUUUUGCCAGAAGCUCUGUAAGGUGACCGGAUUGUAGAAAUGCCAGAGUGCCUUUUGGGAAUCUAUUGAAAUCCCUGCAGCAUUAUGCAAAUGAGCACAGAAAACUGCAAGUAAUACACCUAGACCCACGGACCUAGUGGAGCUGAUGAAUCAUAGAUUCUACAGUUUUAAUUCCUAGUGCCCCAAACUGAGUAAGGCAGAUUAGUGUGAUCAUUUUUCUGUCUCUUCCUUUAGGACAGUUUGAAAAGGAGCCCAAAUGCCACAACAUUUUGUUUUGUUCAUCAGUGCCACAUCUGUAAUGGCACCUAAAAAAUGCUCUCUACUGAAGGACCCUGACCCUGAAAUACUGAGCCAAGAAUCCUGUCACUGUUCUACAAAACAAUAAAUAAUGAAGUAAAUUGAAGAUGUGUGAAUUGUGCCAGCUUGACAGAAAAUUGAGCCAAUGUUCUCGGAGGUGUUACAACAUUAUUUCCCAACAAGCAGCCGGAGCCUCUCUUCAGAACCUCAGAUACCUAAACCGGAAUGGAGGAUAAGAAAGUGGAAGUAAAGACAAAAGAGAAUAUUUAUUUGGGAUUAAUUUGUAGUUACCUACUUGAGCUGACAGACCUGUACUAAAGAGACAAAGGAAAUGAUGGCUCCUUUAACCAUCAGGCAUAUUGUAUGAACAUCAUUCUCUUUCAUUCCACAUUGGGAAAAACAAAUCCUUUCCCCACAUUUGACUUUGUGUAUAAAGUGUGUUAAUAAAACUAAAUGUGUGUUUACAAAUGUGUUUUAAUAAAAAGUAAUGUAUCUAAUAAAACUAAACAUAGGUGAUCAUAUUUGUUCAAAAAUUCUUGGUUUUUCUUGUAAACAAGGCAUAAAGAGCUUUGUGCACUUCAGUCUCCACCAAAAGGUACCUUCUAUCUUUUGGUAGAGGUACCUUUUGUUAGUUUAUAUAUAGAGGAAGAGGACUUCGUUGAACACUAUAUAUAAACUAACUAUGGUCCUCUAGCUCCUCCACAAAGUCACUCUUCCUCUAUUCUGUGUUGUUUUCCUUAUCAAAUUCACCCCAUCUGAAAUUAUGUACUCAGUUCUUUUUUUAAAAAAUUGUAUCACAUUAUGAGCAUAUAUAUUUCUGUGAGGGAAAUGUCUUUGUAUUGUUUUGCUAGCACCUAAUAAAAUUCUGCAACAUAGUGGAUUUCAGUCAAUAUUUGUAGAAAAGUAAAAGAAAUACAACUUUAAAAUAAACUAAGUGGUGGCGGGGCAUGGUGGCUCACGCUUGUAAUGCCAGCAUUUUGGGAGGCCAAGGUGGGUGGAUCACGAGGGUCAGGAGACUGACACUAUCCUGGUUAACACAGUGAAACCUCGGCUCUACUAAAAAUACAAAAAAUAAUUAGCCAGGCAUGGUGGUGUGCGCCUGUAGUCCCAGCUACUCAGGAGGCUGAGACAGUACAAUUGCUUGAACCCAGGAGGUGGAGGUUGUAGUG